rnacentral:rRNA from 1 species
AACGUAGGAGACAAACGUUAUCCGGAGUUACUGGGCGUAAAGGGCGUGUAGGUGGUAAUGUAAGUCUGGCGUGAAAUUUUUCGGCUUAACCGGGAAAGGUCGUCGGAUACUGCAUGACUAGAGGACGGUAGAGGCGUGUGGAAUUCCGGGUGUAGUGGUGAAAUGCGUAGAGAUGUGGAGGAACACCGAUGGCGAAGGCAGCCCCCCUGGGCUAACACUGACGCUCAUGCACGAA